rnacentral:lncRNA from 1 species
UCUGGAAGUCAGCCAAGGGGGAAAAAACAUAAUAUCUUACCGAGGAGCGAGGAUAAGAAUUACAGCAGACUGCUAGUAACACCAAGCAGGAUAAAUACCAAAACAACACAGCCCCUCACCAAACCCAUGCAUCUAGGCAUAUCAUAUUAAAACUGCUGAAAACCAAAGAGAAAGAAAAUCUGGAAGUCAGCCAAGGGGGAAAAAACAUAAUAUCUUACCGAGGAGCGAGGAUAAGAAUUACAGCAGACUGCUAGUCAGAAACAAUAAAAGCAAAAUGAAAUGGAGUAAUAUCUUUUUUUUUUUU